GCCUGGCUGGCUCAGCUGGUAGGGCACGAGGCUCUUAAUCUCAGGGUUGUGAGUUCAAGCCACAUGUUGGGUG
rnacentral:tRNA from 1 species